AGCGAACGCUGGCGGCAUGCCUAACACAUGCAAGUCGAACGAAGUCUUCGGACUUAGUGGCGCACGGGUGCGUAACGCGUGGGAAUCUGCCCUUGGGUACGGAAUAACUCAGAGAAAUUUGUGCUAAUACCGUAUAAUGUCUUCGGACCAAAGAUUUAUCGCUCAAGGAUGAGCCCGCGUAAGUUUAGCUAGUUGGUGGGGUAAAAGCCUACCAAAGCGACGAUCCUUAGCUGGUCUGAGAGGAUGAUCAGCCACACUGGGACUGAGACACGGCCCAGACUCCUACGGGAGGCAGCAGUGGGGAAUAUUGGACAAUGGGCGAAAGCCUGAUCCAGCAAUGCCGCGUGAGUGAUGAAGGCCUUAGGGUUGUAAAGCUCUUUUACCAGGGAUGAUAAUGACAGUACCUGGAGAAUAAGCUCCGGCUAACUCCGUGCCAGCAGCCGCCGUAAAAC
rnacentral:rRNA from 1 species